rnacentral:lncRNA from 1 species
UCAAAUCCUCUUAUCAAAAUCCCUAAACACAUACCCUUAAAUCUUAUACACGUACAUCUCAAAUCCAAUUCCUACAUCAAAUUCCUCCAAUCACAAUUCCUCACAUUCUCAUAUCGCAUCUUACAUUUGCUGCGAUGUCAGGAACCCCUACAAUUCUCCCCCUUAUUGCAGACUCACAGAAGCAUGUGGUCAAUCCUGCUG